CUUCGAACGCGAUAAUCCUAUCCUCGAUAUUACAUAACGCGUACUCUACGUUCUAGUAUGUACGUUAUUGUACAUACUGUUUGCAUUAUCGGAUGAAAAUAUGGUUUCGUCGUGGUUGCAGGCAACUCGUAUCGCUUAACCAUUCAUACUCCAUUAAUGUAAUUAGUCGGCCGAGCUUUCUGUUUUCUCCCUUAAAAGCGCGUUUUCCUCCAUUCGCUUUAUAUUGCUUCACCGAUAUUGCUCGUAGUACAAGAAAGCACGUACAACGAGCGACGAAUCUUCCCAGGUAGGACGUUACUUUCAGUUUUCUCGCGUUCCAUAGUCUCUGUCCAUCGAUGGUGCACGACGUUGCUUGCCACCCGUGGAAUCGCCGCUUCUUCCGUCAAUAGGCUAAGCGCGAACGUCGUUCCGAGCCCGCGCAGAAUGUCAGCGAGAGUCGACGAGAGAGGAUAAAAAGGGCAUCCGUGCGCCAUCCAGCGCUUAAUACCUCACUAGCGACGAGAGAAGAGAGAAGGGAGAAGAGAGAAGAGAGAAGAGAGUGCACGGUGCGUUCGUUUCAUUUCCUGGAAAAAGCGGAAUAGCGAGUUUCGCCGAGUUGCAGAAGGGAAGAAUCGUCCAACGAUGAGGAUGAAAACGAUGGAUAGCGACUCGCAGACGGAAAAACGAGACAGGAAAUCGUUCGUGGUAAUUUCGUGUUCUAUUAAUAUAUCUGAAAUCAAGCGAAGAACCGUAAUUCCCCUGCCAAGCCCAUGUAUGACCUAAUCGCGAUCGAGCGUCGGAGAAGAAGAAACGUAUUUCGUCUUUAAACGCGGAUGCAUUGUUGUAUCGUAAAUGCUUUUUACAAACUGCUGAUCGCAAAGUACGCUUGGCAUACUGGACGUUGGAUAUAGCCGCGAGGAUGUAUCGUUAUCGUUAUCGUUACGCAAGAGAGGGGCAACGAUUAUUAAUUAUGCUCAGUUUUUUUCCUCUUUUCUUUUUUCUCCAUUGCAUCGACAGCUUUGAAACUAACGCGUCGAGUAUUCGGUUGCUGGCGACGCGUAAUAUUUGCGAUCGAAAUUCGAAUACCCUGGCAGUAGCCGGUUACAACGUUGCAAGGUCGUUUGUUCGAAGAAAAAAAGGCAGGACAGCUUUGGCACGGUAUGAAUUACGGACAACGUUUGAAACAAUACACCGCCGAUAUUGCACAGUAUCGCAGCGUGCCUGUCGGUGUAUGUAAUAUUAUGUAACACGUUGGAAUUAGUAAUAUCGUUAAUCCGUUGGUCGGUGAUGGAAAUGAUCACCUUUAUGCGAAAUUGCGAUAGACUUUGCCUGUCCGCGGAACUUGCGAUCCGGCUGUUGGAGGAAAAAACGCGUGGCCCGUUCCUUUCGCGAACUGCGUUCAGAUACGCGAUCCCUUGAUCGUCUCGAGCGUCGUUCCUCUCUUUAUUUGCAUUGUCGGAGAUAUUACGUCCACGUUUGCGGGAGAAAUCAAUCUGGAGAAACAAGUUGUCGAGCAAACUGUUACGUACAGCAGGAAAAAAGAAACGUGCACAUCGGUUAGGACGAAACCACAAGUUGGAGGAAAAAACGCGACACGCAAUUAAAUUCAAAUAGACCAUGUUUUACCGUGCUGAAUCGAGCGAAUAUUCUUAUCGCGUCGAAGAACAAGCGGUCCUUGUUAAAUAUUCAUCCUGUGUAUCGGGUAAGGUGAACAAUGCAGAAGAGAGGCCGGUGGCAGUGUGCGCGUACGCGUACGCGUACGCGUAAGACCGAGCAAGAGGCGAGGAAAGAAAAAACGAAGGUUGUCGGUGUUCUCGAAUGCGAAGGUAUUCCAACGCGAUAGCGUUCGUGGCUGCGGGAUGGCAGCACGAUACAGCUUGAAUAAUAUAACGGAGGUGACGCGCGUGGCAUCGGUUUUUAUGCCUUUGCCGAUUUAAUUUGCCUGAGGUGAGAAUACCUGGUGAGAAGGAAAUUCGUCGAAUUUACUCACCGUCCGAGGACAUGGCUAGAGGCAGCAAGUCGCCAGCGGCUUUCAGCUGAUCGAAUUUUUCUAUCAGCAA